UAUAUUAUAGUGUAAAUAGCAUAGUAAGGUUUGAUCUUAUUGGAAAUAGUUAAAUUCUGUUUAAUAUAA
rnacentral:tRNA from 1 species